ACGGACGGGUGAGUAACACGUGGGUAACCUGCCCAUAAGACUGGGAUAACUCCGGGAAACCGGGGCUAAUACCGGAUAAUAUUUUGAACUGCAUGGUUCGAAAUUGAAAGGCGGCUUCGGCUGUCACUUAUGGAUGGACCCGCGUCGCAUUAGCUAGUUGGUGAGGUAACGGCUCACCAAGGCAACGAUGCGUAGCCGACCUGAGAGGGUGAUCGGCCACACUGGGACUGAGACACGGCCCAGACUCCUACGGGAGGCAGCAGUAGGGAAUCUUCCGCAAUGGACGAAAGUCUGACGGAGCAACGCCGCGUGAGUGAUGAAGGCUUUCGGGUCGUAAAACUCUGUUGUUAGGGAAGAACAAGUGCUAGUUGAAUAAGCUGGCACCUUGACGGUACCUAACCAGAAAGCCACGGCUAACUACGUGCCAGCAGCCGCGGUAAUACGUAGGUGGCAUGCGUUAUCCGGAAUUAUUGGGCCGUAUAGCGCGCGCAGGUGGUUUCUUAUGUCUGAUGUGAAAGCCCACGGCUCAUCCCGUGGAGGGUCAUUGGA
rnacentral:rRNA from 1 species